GAAAUUAUUGGUGAGGGUUGCAGCUGGCCUUUCGAGGCAUGUGCACGCUCGAGCCCUUAAUCCACUUUACACCUGUGCACUUAAUGUAGGUCGCCCUUAAAAAAGGUGACCUAUGUCUUAUCAUCAACCCAUCGUAUGUCUCAUAGAAUGUAAUCGAUAUCCUCGCCCUAAAAAAGCGUUGAUAAACUUAUACAACUUUCAACAACGGAUCUCUUGGCUCUCGCAUCGAUGAAGAACGCAGCGAAAUGCGAUAAGUAAUGUGAAUUGCAGAUUUUCAGUGAAUCAUCGAAUCUUUGAACGCACCUUGCGCUCCUUGGUAUUCCGAGGAGCAUGCCUGUUUGAGUGUCAUUAAAUUCUCAACUCCAAGGGUUUCACGACCUUUCGGAGAUUGGACUUGGAGGUGCUGGCCGCAUAUUGGUCGGCUCCUCUCAAAUGCAUCAGCGGAAUUCAACCUUUGGCUUCCGGAUGUCAGUGUGAUAAUCAUGUUGCGCUGUCGUUUGAUCCCUCAGAGUCCGCUUAUAAUGGUCUUCGGACAAAAUCAUCAUCAAAUUUGACCUCAAAUCAGGUAGGACUACCCGCUGAACUUAAGCAUAUCAAUAAGCGGAGGAAAAGAAACUAACAAGGAUUCCCCUAGUAACUGCGAGUGAAGCGGGAAAAGCUCAAAUUUAAAAUCUGGCGGUCUUGCGGCCGUCCGAGUUGUAAUCUGGAGAAGCGUCUA
rnacentral:rRNA from 1 species